rnacentral:misc_RNA from 1 species
CACUCUGCUGCAGUUUCUUGCAUUCAUUUAUACUGUCCAAUUCUUCCGUUUUAGAUCUGAUUUGCGGGGAAAGAAAGAGAAAAGUGAAAGGAAAAGAUAUGGGGAGGAUGGAGUACUUGAAAAUGAGUACUGAUCUAGUAAAAACCGAUUUGAUUCAGUCUGAUCUCAAUGAGCUCAACGUUGCUGCCAAGCGACUCCUAAAUGAUGCCACUAGGCUUGGUGGCCUCGGCUUUGGUACUUCUUUUCUCAAAUGGGU